rnacentral:rRNA from 1 species
UACGUAGGGCGCAAGCGUUGUCCGGAAUUAUUGGGCGUAAAGAGCUCGUAGGCGGCCUGUUGCGUCCGCUGUGAAAUCCCGGGGCUCAACCCCGGGCCUGCAGUGGAUACGGGCUGGCUAGAGGCAGGCAGGGGAGAACGGAAUUCCUGGUGUAGCGGUGAAAUGCGCAGAUAUCAGGAGGAACACCGAUGGCGAAGGCAGGUCACUGGGCAACAACUGACGCUGAGGAGCGAAAGUGUGGGGAGCGAACAGG